rnacentral:lncRNA from 1 species
GAUAGUCCACAAAUUUUAUAUGUCUAAUGUAUACUAGUACUUGCAUUUCUUAAUAUAUCAUUAGUGAGAUAUAAAUGGAUCCAUCUCUUAGAAUUUGUCCGGAUACUAGAUCAUCGAAUAUUUAUUUAUAUAGCAGAUACCGACUUGUUUGGGGCUGAGGCAUAGUUGCUGUUGUAUAGUUUUUCUAAAAUUUGCUCAAGAUCAAUUCGGAGCAUAAAUAUCAACCUAGCUAAUGUUUCUGAAACCAAACAAAACGUAAUACUAACAAGCUAGUUGGAAUAUGCAUCACAAAGACUACUGAUGUUUCUGUAAUAAUAACGCUCUUCUUUUUUAUGGAGUGAAGGAUACACUAAAAUCGCCUCCACCAGAAAACCGGACCAUGAAGAAGGCGUCCAUAACCGCAAUAGUCAUCACCACUUUCUUCUAUCUGUGCUGUAGUUGCUUUGGCUACGCAGCCUUUGGGAACAACACACCAGGGAACCUCUUGACUUUGUAAGUGUCUCAAUUACAAUAAACGUAUCACUUCACUAUGCUCAUUUCGUCCGGUUGUCAGAUAACAUUAUAGCCACUGUAGUGAUGCGGUGCCUAACCUGCAAGAGACAGUGUAUGCAAUUCAAGCUGAAUGGUAUAUGCUUCUGUUAAGUUAUUAAUCCCUCCGACAAUUUUUGCAGGGAAAUUCAGAUAUCAAAUUGUUACCACAAAGGAGGAGAAAAAGCACAUUGCCAGACUGGGAUGACCAUUUUCAUGCUGAUUUUUGGCAUUGUUCAGAUAGCAACGUCGCAGAUACCAGAUUUUCACAACAUGGCGUGGUUGUCUGUUGUCGCUGCAUUAAUGUCAUUUUGUUACGCAACCAUCGGAUUGGGCCUUGGAUUUUCUAAUGUGAUUGGUAAAGCCUUGACUCUUCUCUUUCUCCUUCUUGUUUUUUUCAUCUGAAGUUCCAAAAAUAGAUCGAAGAGUCUUGUGUAUUUUGACCUUAGUCCCCAUUGGUGUUGGAUCUGUAGAAAAUAAGAGUAUCAAGGGAAGCAUUGUUGGAAUACCAACAAGGAGUUCUGCUCAGAAGAUAUGGCUAGUUUUCCAGGCACUCGGAGACAUUGCUUUUGCCUAUCCUUAUUCGAUAAUUCUCCUCGAGAUACAGGUAUUUUGUAAUGAUAGUCCACAAAUUUUAUAUGUCUAAUGUAUACUAGUACUUGCAUUUCUUAAUAUAUCAUUAGUGAGAUAUAAAUGGAUCCAUCUCUUAGAAUUUGUCCGGAUACUAGAUCAUCGAAUAUUUAUUUAUAUAGCAGAUACCGACUUGUUUGGGGCUGAGGCAUAGUUGCUGUUGUAUAGUUUUUCUAAAAUUUGCUCAAGAUCAAUUCGGAGCAUAAAUAUCAACCUAGCUAAUGUUUCUGAAACCAAACAAAACGUAAUACUAACAAGCUAGUUGGAAUAUGCAUCACAAAGACUACUGAUGUUUCUGUAAUAAUAACGCUCUUCUUUUUUAUGGAGUGAAGGAUACACUAAAAUCGCCUCCACCAGAAAACCGGACCAUGAAGAAGGCGUCCAUAACCGCAAUAGUCAUCACCACUUUCUUCUAUCUGUGCUGUAGUUGCUUUGGCUACGCAGCCUUUGGGAACAACACACCAGGGAACCUCUUGACAGGUUUCAACGAGCCGUUUUGGCUUGUUGACUUUGCCAAUGCCUGCAUAGUCCUUCAUCUGGUUGGAGGGUAUCAGGUAGUUACUAAAAUUCAAGUGCUUUUCCUUCCCCCUUUAUACUUUGGUUUAUGAACAAAAUACUCGUUUCCAUAGGUAUACAGCCAGCCAGUAUUUGCAUUUGUGGAAAAAUGGGCAACUCAAAAGUACCCUGAGAACAGAUUCGUGAACAAGUUCUACGCCAUCAAACUCCCGGUGUUGCCAGCUCUCCAGUUGAACCUCUUCCGGCUAUGUUUCCGGACCCUAUAUGUUAUGUCUACAACAGCAAUAGCAAUGGCGUUUCCAUACUUCAACCAGGUAUUAGGAAUCUUGGGAGCAUUGAACUUUUGGCCUUUGACCAUAUAUUUCCCAGUGGAAAUGUACAUUGUGCAAAAGCAAAUUGGAGCUUGGUCAAGAAAAUGGCUACUUCUUAAAGGUUUCAGUAUGAUCUGCUUGAUUGUAUCUCUAUUGGGCUUGAUUGGAUCAAUUGAGGGAAUAAUUAGUGCUAAAUUAGCUUAAAAUGUAAAAUUUUUCUACUUUGUCUCAAUAAUCUUGCUAGUAAAUAGUUAGCAAGAUAUUGAAUCCAAAAACACUCUAUUUUCCUGCUUUUCAUGAGCCGAGAGUCUAUUUGGAACAAACUCUCUGCCAGGCUGGGUACCUAUAAAGUCGAACUUCCAACUCAUAAGGGAGUUGUGAUCUGAGCGACUCAAUAUUUUGUAUGUUAUUGUAUUAAGACGGUUUAUCAUUUUUAUACAAAAAGUGUGUCUUUUAUGUUUUGCAAUUACUAUAAGCAUUUAUGACAAACAUGUUAAACACAUGAACUCAAUGAUUUGUCAAAGUAAUCGUCGAUAAUUACAUUAUAUCAUGUUGUCAUUUUUGAAAAUUAUUUUGAUUAGACAAAUUAAAAGGUCCCCUCACUACAAAUAUUUUCAUAGGACAAAUGCAUAAACCAUACAUUGCAAAGAAGCCCAACAACAAAAUCAGUUUUGAUUAUUUGACGUUUCGUAAAUGCUUAAAGGCAACAAUCAAUCUAGAAUUAAUAACUCAAAUGUUAAAUCAACGAUUAACUUUUAUCCGUCAUUCAAUUUUACUCUUUACCUCAAAAGUUACCCUAAUACUGAUCUUUAGCUUAAAAAGUCAUUCAAUUUUGAUUUUUAUUUUAAAAGUCACUCAAUUAUCUUAUUUUUAUUCAGAAAAUCACUUAACCUUUUUAAUAUUUUUUAAAAAUAUAAUUUACUUAUCUGAAAUUUCUAUUUAAAAAUAAAAAGUAUCCCGACCGUUUUAUCCUUAUUCCCGUGAAUUAAUAUGUCUCUCUUUCUUUCUCAUUCUUUUCACUUUCUUCCCAUAAACUUUUUCCAUAAUCACACACUAUAAUUUAGGAAUUGAUAAUUAAAAUUAUACAAAAUGGAAUUACUAUCAUAGAACUAAAGAGGGCAAAAGAAGAGAAAUAAAACAAACUUAUGAAAGUAAUAGAAAGGGAGAAAAAAAGGAAAGGGCCGGAUAUUUUAUUUUAUUUUCUCUUCUUUUGUACCUCUUUAUAGUUUUUUCUUAUCAAAAUCAAAAUCAAAAUAAAAUGCAAAAAUAAAAUAUGAUAGCAAUUUAAUUUUAUAUAAUUAUAAUUGUUAAUUUUCUAGAUUCAUACUGCAAAUGUUCGAGUUAUGGGAAGAAAAAUGAGAAGAAGAACGAAAAAUGAAAAAGUUGAUGGAGAGAUAUUAAUUUAGGGGAACAAGGAUAAUAUGAUUAUUAAAUAAAUACUUUUUAUUUUUUAAAAUUUUGUUUUAAAUAAAAAUUUGACAUAAUUAAAUUCUAUUGAAGAAAGAAAUUAAAUAGAUUAAGUGACUUUUUAAGUAAAGAUAUGAUAGUUGAGUGACUAUCUCAAAUAAAAGUACAUAAUUAAGUAAUUUUUUCAGAAUAAAAAUGGAUAAUUUUCUAAAAUAAAAAAAUUAAUACUUGAGUCAACAUUUGAAUUAUUAAUUCAAUGAAUCUAUCAUACAAAAAUUUGUAGCCUUUCCUUUUCUCUGCCAAAUUCAUUAAGGUCGUGAUUGAAACGUGUCAUUUGUCCAUUCCUUGAAAUAUUAAAAAGGUGUAAUGACAUUUUUGGUCCUUUGAUAUUAGUAAAAUAUCUAGAACUUUCCAAGAAACAUGAAACAAUCACAAAUAUAGCCAUACACGUGGAAUUAUCAGAAAUAAAUAAUACGAAAAAUGCUCUAUUAUUAUUUUGAACUAUACGCGAAAAGGACAAGACACACCCGAAUUUUAGAAGGUACCUCUGGACUAAUUAAAAUCAUAUUUUUGUCAACCUCAGUGCCUACGCGACACACACGUGUGCCUACAUGGAUCCUUCAGUGUGUUGUGCCACGUAGACACUAAGGUUGUCAAAAAUAUGAUUUUAAUUAAUUCAAAGAAUAAUAGGACCUCUAAAGUUCGGAUGUAUCUCAACCUUUUCGCAUAUAAUUCAAACUGGUAAUAAAAUAUUUUCUCAUAAUAAUAUAGUCAACUCAACUCAAUAAUCUUUAUCUAACUUGUCCUCUAUGCUAACUUGUGUUGUAGCCAUGUAUAGUUUAGGGUGAUCAAUAGAACACCCUUCGUCGAGAAAUUAUAUUGUAUAUGAUGAAGUGAUUUUUUACGAUAAAAAUAUAUAAAUAAUUGACUUUUGAAGUAAACAUCAAAAUCGUUGAGUGAUUUGAUGAGACAAAAAUUUAUACUUCCUUCAUCCUACUUUACUCGUCCUAAAUUUUCUAAUUUAAUUUUUUAUUUUACCUUUUAUUUUUUAUUAAUUAAGAUGAAAUAAUUUUUUUUCUUUUUUAUUUUUAGUAUUAAUUAUUUUUUAUUCAAACUUAAAUAUAAAUAUUAUUUAAUAAAAAUAUUAUGAUAAAAUAAUCUUGUUAUUAAUUAAUUUUUUUAAUUAAUAUAUAAUAUUAAAUUGGGACGAAGGGAUACUUGGUCAAUAUUUAAGUUAUCAACUCUACAAGAAUUUGUAGCCUUUCGUUUUCUCUGACAAAUUUUGGGGUCAUAAUUGAAACGUGUCCGUUCUUUGAAGUAUUGAAAAGGUAUAAUGACAUUUUGGUCCCUUGAUAUUAGUAAAAUAUUAAUUUUGACCCUUGUAAUAUCUAAAACCUUCCAUGAAACAUGGAACCAUCAUAAAUAGAGCCAUACACAUGGAAUUGUCAGAAAUAGAUGCAGCAAGAACCAUGGGUGUUGAUGAUGAAGUUGACUCUCAUUUGCCAUUGUUUGGCCCAAAUUCUUCGUCUUGUUCUUCUUCCUCUUCCUCAACAUCUAAGCUUCCCUUCCAAAAAUCAGGUAUUAUGUUGUUGUUUUUUCCCAUUACAAAAUAAGGUCUAUUUUUUAUUUUUUCUAAGCAGAUAUGUUGUUGUUGUCCCCUUUAUCCCCACUUUUUACAGAAAAAGUUAAGAGCCUUGAGAAUAAUAAUAUAAUAUAGUGAACUCAUCUCAACAAUCUUGAUCUAACUUGUCCUCUGCUACUAGUGUUUUAGCCAUGUAUGGUUUAGGGUGGCCAAUGGAACACCCUUCGUCCAGAAAUUAUACUGUGUAUGAAGAAUUAUACAGAGUAUAUAGGUCAGACAUUAUUUUUCAAGUAAAGUUGAUGUCAUGUGAUCAGACGCAGGUCAGAAUUUUUUUAAGGGGUUCAAAAGUAAACAUACGAAUUAAUCAAAAAAUGGGUUUAACAUCUGCUAUAUCUACAUUAAAAAAAAAAUUUAGUUAUGUAUAAAUAGUAUAAUUUUUCACCGAAGGAGGGUUCGGAUGACCCGAAACUUGCACAAAUCGGGAGCUUUAGUGGACCGGGCUGCUUUUUUUUAUAUAUUAAAUCUAGAACACUGCUAAUGGAAUUUUUGAUUUCGCCACUGGACUUGUCCUAUAUUUGUUUGUUGAAGGAUAUUGUUUUAAAGGUGCAUCGCAUUAUAGGCCGAGUUUUCAGGAAGCCAAAGUGGUUAGUUUUAGGGAAUGAGUUGUUUUAACAUUGAAAUGGAUUAAAUCUAAGAAACAAUGUAUGUUGCUGCCAGGAACUAUAUGGACUGCAGUUGCACAUAUUAUUGCAGCUGUAAUUGGAUCUGGUGUUCUAUCUAUAGCCUGGGCCACAGCACAAUUAGGAUGGAUUGCAGGGCCAAUCACCAUUAUUUGUUUUGCAGUUGUUAUGUACAUAGCUGCAUGCCUCCUAAGUGACUGUUACAGGACAGAUGAUCACGUAACAGGAAAGCCAAAUCCGUCCUACAAUGAUGCUGUUAGAGUUUACCUUGGUAGGUUGUUCCAUCCCUACAACAUAGAAUCUCUCACAUGUGGAUUCUACAUUUACAUUUUGGGAUGGGGGAUUAGAAGUGUCUUUUAUGUAUUUUGACUUUAUACUCGUUCAGGCAAGAAAUGGACGUGGUUGUGUGGUUUGCUUCUGUAUGUGAACUUCUAUGGGACUGGUAUUGCCUACGUAAUUACAAGUGCAACAAGUAUGAGGUUAGUCUGCCAGAUUUUUGCCUCUUUGAAUCUUGUGUUUCAAUUACAAUAAACAUGUCACUUUACUAUGCUUAUUUGGUCCAGUUAUCAGAUAAUAUAUAGCCACUGUACUGAUCCAGUGCCUAGCCUGCAAGAGAUAGUGUGUGCAAUUCAAGCUGAAUGAGAUAUGCUUUUGUAAUGUUAUUUAUCCCUCCGACAAUUUUUUCAGAGAAAUUCAGAGAUCAAAUUGUUACCACAAAAGAGGAGAAAAAGCUCAUUGCCAUACUGGGAUAAACAUGUUCAUGCUGAUUUUUGGCAUUAUUCAGAUAGCAACGUCGCAGAUACCAGAUUUUCACAACAUGGCAUGGUUGUCUGUUGUCGCUGCAUUAAUGUCAUUUUGUUACUCUUUCAUUGGAUUGGGCCUUGGAUUUUCUAAAGUGAUUGGUAAAGCUUGGACUGUUAUCUUUCUCUCCGUUUCUUGUCUCUCAUCUCACCUUUCAAAAAGUAUUUCUUCGGAAGAAUCUGUAUAUUUUGAUCAUUAGACUUGAUGUUCGAUCUGCAGAUAACAAGAGUAUCAAGGGAAGCAUUGUGGGAAUACCAACAAAGAGUGCUUCUCAGAAGAUAUGGCUAGUCUUCCAGGCACUCGGUAACGUUGCUUUUGCCUAUCCUUAUGUGGUUGUUCUCCUUGAGAUACAGGUAAUAUGUAAUGAUAUUCCUUAAAUUUUAUGUCUAGUAUACGUUGUUCUCCUCGAGAUGCAGGUAAUAUGUAAUGAUAUUCCAUAAAUUUUAUGUCUAGUAUAUUAGUCUUAACUUCUGGCAUUUCUUAUUAUAUCAUAGUGAGAUAUUAAUGGAUCCAGCUCUAAUAAUUUGUCCUGAUACUAGAUCAUUGAAUAUUGAUUUACAUAGUAGACACCGACUUGUUUAGGACAUGCAUUCCUCUAGUUGGAAUAGUUGUACUAAUAGCAUCGCAGAGACUGCUGAUGUUUCUCCUAAUAUUAACGCUUUUAUUUUUUAUGGAUUGAAGGAUACACUAAAAUCGCCUCCACCAGAAAACCAGACCAUGAAGAAGGCGUCAAUGACCGCAAUAGUUACCACCACUUUCUUCUAUCUGUGCCUUAGUUGCUUCGGCUAUGCAGCCUUUGGAAACGACACACCAGGGAACCUCUUGACAGGUUUCGACGAGCCAUUUUGGCUUGUUGACUUUGCCAAUGCCUGCAUAGUCCUCCAUCUGGUCGGAGGGUACCAGGUAGUACUAAAAUUUGAUCAUUUUCCUUUCACCAAUCACCCUUUACUUGGUUUAUGAAAAUUCUAACUUCACCACGAACAAAAUACUUGUUUAAUUUC